rnacentral:misc_RNA from 1 species
GAAAUGCGAUAAGUAGUGUGAAUUGCAGAAUUCAGUGAAUCAUCGAAUCUUUGAACGCACAUUGCGCCCCUUGGUAUUCCAUGGGGCAUGCCUGUUCGAGCGUCAUUUGUACCUUCAAGCUUUGCUUGGUGUUGGGUGUUUGUCUCGCCUCUGCGCGCAGACUCGCCUCAAAACAAUUGGCAGCCGGCGUAUUGAUUUCGGAGCGCAGUACAUCUCGCGCUUUGCACUCAUAACGACGACGUCCAAAAAGUACAUUUUUUACACUCUUGACCUCGGAUCAGGUAGGGAUACCCGCUGAACUUAAGU